rnacentral:rRNA from 1 species
CCUGGUUGAUUCUGCCAGUAGUCAUAUGCUUGUCUCAAAGAUUAAGCCAUGCAUGUCUAAGUAUAAGCAAUCAUACUGUGAAACUGCGAAUGGCUCAUUAAAUCAGUUAUAGUUUAUUUGAUAGUACCUUUACCUGGAUAACUGUGGUAAUUCUAGAGCUAAUACAUGCUAAAAACCCCGACUUCGGGAGGGGUGUAUUUAUUAGAUAAAAAACCAAUGCCCUUCGGGGCUCCUUGGUGAUUCAUAAUAACUUAACGAAUCGCAUGGCCUUGCGCCGGCGAUGGUUCAUUCAAAUUUCUGCCCUAUCAACUUUCGAUGGUAAGGUAGUGGCUUACCAUGGUUUCAACGGGUAACGGGGAAUUAGGGUUCUAUUCCGGAGAGGGAGCCUGAGAAACGGCUACCACAUCCAAGGAAGGCAGCAGGCGCGCAAAUUACCCAAUCCCAAUACGGGGAGGUAGUGACAAUAAAUACUGAUACGGGGCUCUUUCGGGUCUCGUAAUUGGAAUGAGUACAAUCUAAAUCCCUUAACGAGGAACAAUUGGAGGGCAAGUCUGGUGCCAGCAGCCGCGGUAAUUCCAGCUCCAAUAGCGUAUAUUAAAGUUGUUGCCGUUAAAAAGCUCGUAGUUGAACCUUGGACCUGGCUGAUCUGUCCUCCUAAUCGAGCGUACGGAUUCGGUCGGGUCUUUCCUUCUGGGGAACCCUAUGCUCUUCACUGGGUGUAGCGGGGAACCAGGACUUUUACCUUGAAAAAAUUAGAGUGUUCAAAGCAGGCCUUUGCUCGAAUACAUUAGCAUGGAAUAAUAGAAUAGGACAUCGGUUCUAUUUUGUUGGUUUCUAGGACCGCUGUAAUGAUUAAUAGGGAUAGUCGGGGGCGUCCGUAUUCAAUUGUCAGAGGUGAAAUUCUUGGAUUUAUUGAAGACGAACUACUGCGAAAGCAUUCGCCAAGGAUGUUUUCAUUAAUCAGUGAACGAAAGUUAGGGGAUCGAAGACGAUCAGAUACCGUCGUAGUCUUAACCAUAAACUAUGCCGACUAGGGAUCGGACGGUGGUUUUUUUAUGCCCCGUUCGGCACCUUACGAGAAAUCAAAGUGUUUGGGCUCGGGGGAGUAUGGUCGCUGUUGCCAAGAACGAGUUCGAUCUCGAGAACAAGGUUGUUGGUACCGUCGCUGUUGGCCGCAUCGGUGAGCGUGUGCUCCGCCGUCUCAAGCCCUUCGACUGCAAGGAGCUCCUCUACUU